UGGCCCUCAGUGCGAUGAUGCUCUAGAGACAUGCGUUCAAAAUGAGCACUGGCUAUGGGUUUAUAUUUAAGUGUUAUAUCUGUUGGAAACGUGAUUCCUUUGGAUUUGAAUAUCUACCCUGGCUCCUGACUGAAUUAAAAUCCUAACAGCAGCUUCGUGGCCCCUUUCGGCCGCUAUGUGCAGAGGAGUGCGUCCUUGAAGGUCUACGGUAUUCCCAUCAGCGCCUUUCUCGAGCAAGAUUGAAAUAACCUCCACAUUCCCUGUUCCAGCUGCGUAAUGCAACGCAGAAGCCCCAGACCCAUCGCGCUUGUUGAUAUCGGACCCGAAUUCUAAGAGGCAUCGCACAAUAUUGGCGUGGCCAUUCUCUGC
rnacentral:sRNA from 2 species